UGGGGAAUAUUGUUCAAUGGACGAAAGUCUGAAACAGCAAUGCCGCGUGGAUGAUGAAGGCCUUCGGGUUGUAAAGUCCUUUCGAUUGGGAAGAAGAAAAUGACGGUACCAAGAGAAGAAGCCACGGCUAAUCUCGUGCCAGCAGCCGCGGUAAGACGAGAGUGGCAAGCGUUAUCCGGAAUUACUGGGCGUAAAGAGCGCGUAGGCGGUUUUGAAAGUCAGGGGUGAAAAGUCUGGGCUUAACCGAGGCCUUGCCUUUGAAACUUCAAGACUAGAGUACAGGAUAGGAGGGUAGAACUACCAGUGUAGCGGUGGAAUGCGUAGAUAUUGGUAGGAACGCCGAUGACGAAGGUAACUCUCUGGACUGAUACUGACGCUGAGGUGCGAAAGCUAGGGGAGCAAACAGG
rnacentral:rRNA from 1 species